GGGCGGGGUCGACGAUUCCUACGGGAGGCAGCAGCUAAGAAUCUUCCGCAAUGGGCGAAAGCCUGACGGAGCGACGCCGCGUGGACGAAGAAGGCCGGAAGGUUGUAAAGUCCUUUUCCUGGGGGAGAAUAAUGCGGGGAGGGAAUGCCCUGCAGAUGACGUGAACCAGGGAAUAAGCCCCGGCUAAUUACGUGCCAGCAGCCGCGGUAACACGUAAGGGGCGAGCGUUGUUCGGAUUUAUUGGGCGUAAAGGGCGUGUAGGCGGUAGUGCAAGUCUGGUGUGAAAGGCCCCGGCUCAACCGGGGAAGCGCGCUGGAAACUGUGCUGCUAGAGUUUAGGAGGGGAAGCUGGAAUUCCUGGUGUAGGGGUGAAAUCUGUAGAGAUCAGGAAGAACACCGGAGGCGAAGGCGAGCUUCUGGCCAUAGACUGACGCUGAGGCGCGAAAGCGUGGGGAGCAAACAGGAUUAGAUACCCUGGUAGUCCACGCUGUAAACGAUGUGCACUAGGUGUUGGGGGUAUGAACUCUCGGUGCCGGAGCUAACGCGUUAAGUGCACCGCCUGGGGAGUACGCCGGCAACGGUAAAACUCAAAGGAAUUGACGG
rnacentral:rRNA from 1 species